UAGUCCACGCCGUAAACGAUGUCUACUAGCCGCUGGGGAACUUGAUUCCUUAGUGGCGCAGCUAACGCACUAAGUAGACCGCCUGGGGAGUACGGCCGCAAGGUUAAAACUCAAAUGAAUUGACGGGGGCCCGCACAAGCGGUGGAGCAUGUGGUUUAAUUCGAUGCAACGCGAAGAACCUUACCAGGCCUUGACAUCCCGAGAAGUCGCUAGAGAUAGCUUCGUGCCUUCGGGAACUCGGUGACAGGUGCUGCAUGGCUGUCGUCAGCUCGUGUCGUGAGAUGUUGGGUUAAGUCCCGUAACGAGCGCAACCCUUGUCCUUAGUUGCUAGCAGGUAAUGCUGAGAACUCUAAGGAGACUGCCGGUGACAAACCGGGAGGAAGGUGGGGACGACGUCAAGUCAUCAUGGCCCUUACGGGCCUGGGGCUACACACGUGCUACAAUGGGGCAGUACAGAGGGUUGCCAAACUGUGAAGUGGGAGCUAAUCCCUUAAAACUGUUCGUAGUCCGGGAUUGGGAGU
rnacentral:rRNA from 1 species